rnacentral:lncRNA from 1 species
ACAUUAGUUUUCAGCGAAAAAUUCCUUUGAGUGUUCUUACCUUUCUGAUGGCUUGCUAAACACUUGGUUACCACAAAAUAAGGUUUAUACUUGCCAAAAGUGAGAGUAGCUAGGAAGGAUGACUUGAAGGCAUUUAGAUUAUUUAGUACAAAGAAAAGGAGGAGGGCCACCAUGGGAAGCUGCAAGGAGCAGUCACAGAUAACCCCCUGCAGUUUAACUAUUUCAUCUUCUUAUCAUAAAAUGGUCAUGGAUAACCCUCGUCGGCUACUCUUUCUUCCUUUUCUCUUUAUUGUUAAUUAUUGUUUUCUGUGUCGAAAGACAAUAUUGCAUCUCAUCUUUAUAUUUUCAAUUUAAUAUAACAUGACUUAAUUUUGUUUAUUCAAAAUGAAUUUGAAUCUUGAUUUGAGUUAAUCAAUUUUUGUUUUUUGAAUAUUUUUUGUAAAUGAUUAUUUCAGUCAUUUAGGUUUAAUUCAUGAUUAUACUUGUAAAUGUACGGCCAACAUUUGUGGCUUAAUGAAUUAAUUUUUUUAAUAUGAGAAGAGGUAAUGGUUUAUUG